rnacentral:rRNA from 1 species
GUAGGUGGCAAGCGUUGUCCGGAAUUAUUGGGCGUAAAGCGCGCGCAGGCGGGUUUUUUAAGUCUGAUGUGAAAGCCCACGGGCUCAACCGUGGAGGGUCAUUGGAAACUGGAGAACUUGAGUACAGAAGAGGAAAGCGGAAUUCCACGUGUAGCGGUGAAAUGCGUAGAGAUGUGGAGGAACACCAGUGGCGAAGGCGGCUUUCUGGUCUGUAACUGACGCUGAGGCGCGAAAGCGUGGGGAGCAAACAGGAUUAGAUACCCUGGUAGUCCACGCCGUAAACGAUGAGUGCUAAGUGUUAGGGGGUUUCCGCCCCUUAGUGCUGCAGCUAACGCAUUAAGCACUCCGCCUGGGGAGUACGGCCGCAAGGCUG